AGUGCUAAGAGAAUGAUUUAACAAUUAAAAACUUUCUUUAAUUUAUAAAUUGAAUUUAGUUUUAUUGUGAAGAAACAAUAAUAUUAAUUAGGGACAAGAAGACCCUAUGAAUUUUAGAAUUAUUUUAUAAUAAUUUAUAUAUAUAAAUUAAUUUUUAUUGGGGCGAUAAGAAAAGAAUAACUAUCUUUUUUUUCUAGAAAUUAAUUUAGAUCCAUUAUUAAUGAUUAGGUGAGAAAAAUACUCUAGGGAUAACAGCG
rnacentral:rRNA from 1 species